ensembl:misc_RNA 7SK 7SK RNA
GCAUGUGAGGUUGAUCUCAGCUGUUGCCCUUCACCCCAUUGAUCAUCAGGGUUAAUUGGCUGAUCUGGCUGACUAGGAAGAUGUCCCCUUCCUCUCUGUUUGCUCCUUGUAUGUCCCUUCCGAAGCUGUGUGCUUGGUGGAGGAGGAUGACUUCCCCCACAGAGAAAGACCAGUCUUUCACCAAGGGGAUGGGAGGAGCUGACUCCCCUGUUAGACCCUCCCAACAAGCCCUCAAGGCCCAUUUGUAGGAGACCAUAGCAUAGUCAUGCUUCCAAGGCUCCAGACACCUCCAGAAGCAGCACUGUGAGUGGCAGCCUGCCUGUCU